GAUGGCUUCUGGCAAGUGAUCAUCGUCUCUCUGAGGUCUCUCUGGCUGGCAUUCUGUUUUCCCAGAUAUGGCUACGUGUCUGUUUCCAGCACCUGUUCCUGAGUCAGGCCUUGAAGAUUUUGCCGGCUUUACUUCCUGGGCCUCCCUUGUAUGAACUCGCCAUUCCAGAUGGGACAGUUCCUUAACAUGCUGGGUCCUAUACCACUGAGGCUCGCUUCAUGAGGACCCACUCUCCAGAGGCCUUCUCUGCAUCACCACCAGACUGUAUGCAUGUGACGGGUUUGACUGAUCCAGGAUAAACUUGGCCAGAAGGGAGGGCUCCAGGCUGCGUUGGCUGCAGGCUGGUUCCCAGUGUGCAUCCUAGGGCUGGGCUGAGGUGCCAGUGUCUCUCCUGGCAGCUGGCUGCAAUAGCCAGGGUUAAGCCCAACUGCAUGGGCAUGUGGAAGACCUCUGUCCAAGUCAGUUUUGUUAGCAUCACCUUCACCAAGGCGAGUCACCCAGAUACACCCAACAUCAGUGAGGGGAGAAAGAAUAUUCCAUCCGCUGUCAUUCCCAGCAUUGAAACUCUAGACUUUUCUAGCUCCUCACCCAGCAUUUGUGUCAUGUCAUGUCUCUGGGCUUUGGUCUAGAAUGUCUGUUAAUUGUAACAUCUGCACGUCAACUUUCCCAUCAGAUUGUACCUUGGAAUGCAGGGGCCUUGCUUGGUCCAUUUCUAUGUCCCCAGCCUCAGAGUAUGGGACCUGACACAGAAGGAGUGCUCAGAAACUCCUUGUUAAACAAUGAGUAAAU